rnacentral:rRNA from 1 species
UCGUUAAGGAACUCGGCAAAAUGACCCCGUAACUUCGGGAGAAGGGGUGCUCUAUUAGGGUGCAAGCCCGAGAGAGCCGCAGUGAAUAGGCCCAGGCGACUGUUUAGCAAAAACACAGGUCUCUGCAAAACCGUAAGGUGACGUAUAGGGGCUGACGCCUGCCCGGUGCUGGAAGGUUAAGAGGAGUGCUUAGCUUCGGCGAAGGUACGAAUUGAAGCCCCAGUAAACGGCGGCCGUAACUAUAACGGUCCUAAGGUAGCGAAAUUCCUUGUCGGGUAAGUUCCGACCCGCACGAAAGGCGCAACGAUCUGGGCACUGUCUCAACGAGAGACUCGGUGAAAUUAUAGUACCUGUGAAGAUGCAGGUUACCCGCGACAGGACGGAAAGACCCCGUGGAGCUUUACUGCAACCUGAUAUGGAAUGUUUGUACCGCUUGUACAGGAUAGGUAGGAGCCGAAGAGACGUGUGCGCUAGCAUACGAGGAGGCAAUGGUGGGAUACUACCCUGGCUGUAUGACCAUUCUAACCCGCCACGCUUAGCGCGUGGGGAGACAGUGUCAGGUGGGCAGUUUGACUGGGGCGGUCGCCUCCUAAAGAGUAACGGAGGCGCCCAAAGGUUCCCUC